rnacentral:rRNA from 1 species
CCUACGGGUGGCAGCAGUGGGGAAUAUUGCACAAUGGGGGGAACCCUGAUGCAGCGACGCCGCGUGGGGGAAGGCGGUUUUCGGUAUGUAAAGCCCUAUUCGCAGGGAAGAACAAUGACGGUACCUGACGAGGAAGCAACGGCUAAAUACGUGCCAGCAGCCGCGGUAAUACGUAUGUUGCAAGCGUUAUCCGGAAUUACUGGGUGUAAAGGGAGCGCAGGCGGGGCGUUAAGCCUGGUGUGAAAGCCCGCGACCAAACCGGGGGACUGCAUUUGAAACUGGCGCGCUUGAGUGCCGGAGGGGUAGGCGGAAUUCCGAGUGUAGCGGUGAAAUGCGUAGAUAUUAGGAGGAACACCAGUGGCGAAGGCGGCCUACUGGACGUUAACUGACGCUGAGGCUCGAAAGCGUGGGGAGCAAACAGGAUUAGAUACCCUAGUAGUC